CCGGGCAGCAGUACAGUUGAUGCGAUGUUUAGUUUAUUAACUGUCAUUCAAAAAACACUCUCCAGUAAGAAUCGUUUGUAUUGCUGUUUUGUAGACUACAAACAGGCGUUUGAUACAAUAUGUAGACUGAAUUUAUGGUUGAAAUUGUCAAAAAUUGGUAUAACAGGGAAACUUUUAUCAUUACUAAAAUCAAUGUAUUCAAAUGUGAAAUCAUGUGUACGAAUUGAUGGUUUUUAUUCAGAGCAGUUCACGAGUACAGUUGGCUUAAUGCAAGGGGAAGUACUCUCUCCAAUCCUUUUUUCAUUGUACGUGAACGAUUUUGAAAUGGAUUUUUUAAAUAACGGUAAUGUACCGUAUGAAGUACAAGAAUUGUCUCUAUUUUUGCUUAUGUACGCCGAUGAUAUGAUACUAUUUUCUGAUUCUGUAAAAGGUUUACAAGAUAUGUUAGACACACUU
rnacentral:lncRNA from 1 species